rnacentral:tRNA from 1 species
GAACCAAGAGAUUCAGAAAGGAGCUUCUAACUCCUUUAAGAGCGGUGGAACUCCGUUUAUGGUUCU